AGAAUCAACGCUGGCGGCGUGCCUAACACAUGCAAGUCGCACGAGAAAGGGUAGCAAUACCUGAGUACAGUGGCGCACGGGUGAGUAACACGUGAAUAAUCUACCUCCGAGUGGGGAAUAACUGAGAGAAAUCUUAGCUAAUACCGCAUAAUACCCACGGGUCAAAGCAGCAAUGCGCUUGGAGAGGAGUUCGCGGCAGAUUAGUUAGUUGGCGGGGUAAUGGCCCACCAAGACGAUGAUCUGUAUCCGGCCUGAGAGGGCGCACGGACACACUGGAACUGAAACACGGUCCAGACUCCUACGGGAGGCAGCAGUGUGGAAUUUUGCGCAAUGGGGGAAACCCUGACGCAGCAACGCCGCGUGGAGGAUGAAGCCCUUGGGGUGUAAACUCUUUCGAUCGGGAAGAUAAUGACGGUACCGAUAUAAGAAGCCCCGGCUAACUUCGCGCCAGCAGCCGC
rnacentral:rRNA from 1 species